rnacentral:rRNA from 1 species
GACGAACGCUGGCGGCGUGCUUAACACAUGCAAGUCGAACGGAAAGGCCCUGCUUUUGUGGGGUGCUCGAGUGGCGAACGGGUGAGUAACACGUGAGUAACCUGCCCUUGACUUUGGGAUAACUUCAGGAAACUGGGGCUAAUACCGGAUUGGAGCUCCUGCUGCAUGGUGGGGGUUGGAAAGUUUCGGCGGUUGGGGAUGGACUCGCGGCUUAUCAGCUUGUUGGUGGGGUAGUGGCUUACCAAGGCUUUGACGGGUAGCCGGCCUGAGAGGGUGACCGGCCACAUUGGGACUGAGAUACGGCCCAGACUCCUACGGGAGGCAGCAGUGGGGAAUAUUGCACAAUGGGCGGAAGCCUGAUGCAGCAACGCCGCGUGCGGGAUGACGGCCUUCGGGUUGUAAACCACUUUCGCCUGUGACGAAGCGUGAGUGACGGUAAUGGGUAAAGAAGCACCGGCUAACUACGUG